UUACAAGUGAAAAACUGGUACACAAUAAUAUCACCCUUCCGACAUGAAUAUUUUUUCUAUGCUACUUGAUAAGCAAUAAUGCCGUUAUGUCGACGUGUAAUACAAAUUUCCAGGACAGAUAUUCAACAAACUGAUACAGUCAUACACUGGCAAGGCAAACACACCUAAUGUCAUGAAAUGAAAAACCAGGUAAUCAGGUAUAGCUGGUUAGUUUGCUUGCCUUAUGCUUCCACUGAAUGAAUGAAACUGUUCCUUGCAAUGGGUAAAGUACUCAUCAAAUAUCGUUUGCUUCACCCUUCGGAAAGACAAACAGCACUUUCAUAUUA
rnacentral:lncRNA from 1 species